rnacentral:rRNA from 1 species
UACGUAGGGUGCGAGCGUUGUCCGGAUUUACGUGGCGUAAAGAGCGCGCAGGCGGUCGUUCAAGUCGCGUGUGAAAGCCCCCGGCUCAACUGGGGAGGGUCACGCGAUACUGAUCGACUCGAAGGCAGGAGAGGGAAGUGGAAUUCCCGGUGUAGUGGUGAAAUGCGUAGAUAUCGGGAGGAACACCAGUGGCGAAGGCGGGUCUCUGGGCCGUAACUGACGCUGAGGAGCGAAAGCGUGGGGAGCGAACAGG